UACGAAGGGUGCAAGCGUUACUCGGAAUUACUGGGCGUAAAGCGUGCGUAGGUGGUGAGUUAAGUCUGUCGUGAAAGCCCCGGGCUCAACCUGGGAAUGGCGAUGGAUACUGGCUCGCUAGAGUGCGGUAGAGGAGAGUGGAAUUCCCGGUGUAGCAGUGAAAUGCGUAGAGAUCGGGAGGAACAUCAGUUGCGAAGGCGGCUCUCUGGACCAGCACUGACACUGAGGCACGAAAGCGUGGGGAACAAACAGG
rnacentral:rRNA from 1 species